rnacentral:rRNA from 1 species
CCUACGGGAGGCAGCAGUGGGGAAUAUUGCACAAUGGGCGCAAGCCUGAUGCAGCCAUGCCGCGUGUGUGAAGAAGGCCUUCGGGUUGUAAAGCACUUUCAGCGGGGAGGAAGGCGGUGAGGUUAAUAACCUCAUCGAUUGACGUUACCCGCAGAAGAAGCACCGGCUAACUCCGUGCCAGCAGCCGCGGUAAUACGGAGGGUGCAAGCGUUAAUCGGAAUUACUGGGCGUAAAGCGCACGCAGGCGGUCUGUCAAGUCGGAUGUGAAAUCCCCGGGCUCAACCUGGGAACUGCAUUCAAAACUGGCAGGCUAGAGUCUUGUAGAGGGGGGUAGAAUUCCAGGUGUAGCGGUGAAAUGCGUAGAGAUCUGGAGGAAUACCGGUGGCGAAGGCGGCCCCCUGGACAAAGACUGACGCUCAGGUGCGAAAGCGUGGGGAGCAAACAGGAUUAGAUAUCCCGGUAGUC